CAAUUCUGUUGAUUGGAUAUUGAACUAUUGCCUAAUGUCAGAGACAAACGACGUCACAGGAGCGAAGACACUCAUUGGUUGAAAAACAUGUACAUAUUGCGUGUACGGUGACAUCUUUUCGAAAUCUGUCUUUCGGCAGUGCGAUUGAACUAGGUUGAGGAAUAAAACUACUAUACGCGUCAUUCAUUACUAUUUCGAAGUACAUUUGAAGAUUUACAAGGACGUGCGGCUACCGACAGCAUGAUAAUAGAUCAACUUCGUCAAACAUCCCGCUAUUCCAGCUGCAACAGACUUCUCUGCGUUCUCAACUGAUUCCUGCUUCUCUUUGUCCUGACGCCAUCGGUAAUAAUCGUAUGGCGUGGCGCAUGGUCGGUUUUCGACAACUAUCUGUUUCCCGACAGUGCUUUGGUCAGCGGACUUGUAUCUAUCGGAAUCGGCUACAUAUUCAU